rnacentral:rRNA from 1 species
CAGCAGCCGCGGGAAUACAGAGGGUGCAAGCGUUAAUCGGAAUUACUGGGCGUAAAGCGCGCGUAGGUGGUUUGUUAAGUUGGAUGUGAAAUCCCCGGGCUCAACCUGGGAACUGCAUCCAAAACUGGCAGGCUAGAGUAGGGCAGAGGGUGGUGGAAUUUCCUGUGUAGCGGUGAAAUGCGUAGAUAUAGGAAGGAACACCAGUGGCGAAGGCGACCACCUGGGCUCAUACUGACACUGAGGUGCGAAAGCGUGGGGAGCAAACAGGAUUAGAUACCCCGGUAGUCCCUGUAUCUUAUAC